rnacentral:lncRNA from 1 species
GUCUUCUGGUACGUCUCUUCGGGAAACUUUUUAAUUCAAGCGUGACAUGCACUGGGACGGGCCGGUCACAGGUGAACUUGAUCCAUGCAACCCGCUAAGACACGGAGGCUUCGCCCUCCCUGGGAGGACUGGUUUCCUGUCUCCCUUCUCCACCCUCCUCUCCCAGGAAACCUAGAUUCUGACUCUAAAAACAUGAGUUUUCCCCGAUUUGGUGCAGGUACAUAAAGGGCAUCUUCAGCAUGAGCUGUUAGGGGUCUGGCCUUUGCAUUCCACGUGUCCAUGUCCUUGGCUGUACUUUCCCCCUUGCCGCAGGAGAGAUCACGUUGCAAGGACAUCUCUGCAAACCCUUUGCCUUAUCUAGGAAGAAUCUCCAGAUUUAGGUGUUCUGAGUGGAACGGGGUAAACAUUUUUUAUAGCUCCCAAAACGCUUUCUGAAGGAUGCACGACCCUUCUCCCUGCUCAUCUGGGAAGUCUGUCACCAAGGUUAAAAAGGGUGACUCGAGCUUUCACUGGGAGAGAGGCCAAGAGGGGCCCAGGUCUAGAUCCUCCUGGGGAAGGAUCUGAAACUAAGUGCUGAGAAUUCCCGCCUAUGGGCCUGACAGUUCUUGGUCAUAAGCCACAGAAUCCUCUGUGCUGGGCGAGGUAGAAACGCAGCCUACUGAAGGCAACUGGGUAGCCAGUCCGUGGAUUACCUGGGGGGUUUGGUGACUGUGUGGCAGGAUCAGAACUCAAAUCCCCAGGCCCUUCAGUUUAUGCUCUGGACUCUGAGCACUGGACGUCUGGCCAGUGCCGCUGUCCCCAGACAUACGGACGGAAUUCCUCUCUUGUCUCUUUG